CCCUUUCCCAUUCAACCCUAGUUUCUCACUCUUUACCGUCACCGAGAUCUAGCCAACACUCCUCUUCUAGAGGGGGUGGGGGAAAAAGGGAUCGAGUAGGAGAUCUCCUUCCCUCACUCCCUCCCCUAUCCAACCAACGCUCCCCUUCUUCAAUUCGACCAAUCUUCCCCAUCUUUUACCCUUCAUUCAUCGAUCCAUAACCCUAUCGUCUUUUCACAUUGAGCCAUUGAGUCAACAUCCCAUCAACACAAAUCUUCAUUGUAACAUUAAUUAACACCAAAUCAUUGGAAUCAAGAGUUCAUUGUCCAUUUUCCUAUGACGUGCCUCAUCCUCUUUGACUUCAAUUCACCAUACAAAAUCAUCAGUCACUACACAAGAUUUUAUUUUUGUUCGAUCUCACUUGAAAAAAGUUUGAGAGAAUCUAGAACCUUGGGAGUCGAGAAGAUCUAGAAUCUUCCUCCCAACUUUUUUCAAGAACGUCAUUCUAUCAUCAUAUGCAGUGACACCAACCUAUGAUACAAAAGAUUUGUUCUUGAUUGCAGUUGAAUCUCAGAUUGUGGAAGACAAGGCACAUUGUUCAUUGGAGGCUGAACGUGUGCCAUAGCCCAUAGGGCUUAUGGAACAUGUUGUGUGAGAUGCAAGUGUAUCCCACCUAGUACUUCCAGCAAUAAGGAGCUAUGUGGAACUUGCUAUAUAGAUAUGAUUACCCACAACAAGACAAAGUGUCCUUAGAGUCCAGUCCAUAGAAGGUGAGCCCAUUGGGCCCUUCAUGCACCCGAGCUACUCGCACCAAGCAAAGUAACUAGUCAAGAUUAGUAAGUACUAAUAAAUAUUUGUUAUGUAUUAUGUAAACUUAUGUGAAUUUGGAUUUGUCAUCUUAAGACCAUGUUCUAGUUUCUUUUUUUGCUUAUACCAUAUUCUAGUUUCUACCUUUGUUAUAAUGGUAUGAUACUAGUUUGAACCAAUUA